rnacentral:tRNA from 1 species
GUUCAAGUCCCUCUAUCCCCAAAAAGUCCAUUUUACU